GCAUCCUCUUCAGGUUGACUCGGUGGUUUCAGAGUCUAACACAAAAGGGUAAAGUAAGUCAGCAUAAAAUCUCAGAGAGAAGGAAAAACUCCUUGGAUCCCGUCUGGAUGCAAGA
rnacentral:snoRNA from 1 species